rnacentral:lncRNA from 1 species
GGAGACAGGAAGACAUUUUAAAUUCAGCCUCAGACACUUAUUAGUCAUAUAACUAAUAAGGGGGAAGGGAAUAAGUCUUUAUAUAGUGCCUACUAUGUGCCAGGCACUGUGCUAAGCUUUUAACGAGUAUUAUCUUAUUUGAUCCUCACAACAACUCUGGGAGGUAGGCACUAUUUUUAUCCUCAUUUUACAACUGAGGAAACUGAGGCUAUGACUUGACCUGGGUUACACUGCUAGCGUCUGACACUGGAUGUGGGCAAACAAGCCACUUAACGGCUGCUUCAGUUUCCUCAGCUCUAAAGUGGGGAUAUACACCUUCCUCAUGGGGUCGUUGCAAGGAGCAAAGGAAGCAGUAUUUGUAAAAAGGCUUAGCAUAAUGCCCGGCACAUAGUAGGCUCUAUGUAAAUGCCUAUUUCCCCUAUUCUCCCCACCCCCCCACUCCUUCUCCUCAAAGAGGAAGAGCGGGUUUGAGUAACUUACUCAAGAUCAUAGAGCAAAUUAGUGGAGGAACCUAGGUCUCCUGGCUUCUAGCCCAGAUCUCUUCUACCACAGCAAGGAGAGGGGAAACCAUCCCGAGCCUCCAGCCUGUGCUUGCAGUAGAGGACAGAGAAAGGGAAGGGGGAGGCAGAAAUCAGGACAGGCUUCUCUAGAGCAACCUCGCUCUGUUUUCCCUGUUUCUGCGCCCAUCAGUGUGCCUGUGCCUAGGUCCCCAGCUCCUGACCUCGCCUGACCUCACACCUGCGGGAGCUGACCAGAAUUCGGAGAGGAGUCGCGUGGCCGCAUACUGUGAGUCCGGGAGCCAGGCUCACGCCCCUGGUCGUUCAGACUGCUGCCUUACCUGUGCCCCCCGGCCCACGUGGGUCAGCCUCCUGUUUCCUCCUCCUUCUUCGCUGCUGCUCAGCGAGAGGUGCUCUGUGCCAGCGCUGCCCUCGGGGACCCCACGCUUUCCCAAACCAAGUUCGACCCCGCGCGAAGCCCUUGAAAUGAUGAGCAGGUGGACCUCAGAAAAACCUGGAAAGACUUACAUGAACUGAUGCUGAGUGAAGUGAGCAGAUCCAAGAAAACAUGGUAUACAAUAACAGCAACAUUAUGAGAUGAUCAACUUUGAUAGACUUAGCUCUUCUCAAUGCAAUGAUCUAAGACAAUUCCAAACAACUCAUGAUGGAAAAUGCUAUCCACAUCCAGAGAAAGAACUAUGGAAUCUGAAUACAGAUUGAAACAUAGUAUUUUUACUUUUUUUUUUCUCGUAGUUUUCCCCCUUUUGUUCUGAUUCUUCUUUCACAACAUGACUAAUGUGGAAAUGUUUGAUACAUGUAUAAAUGUUUAGUACAUGUAUAGCCUAUAUCAGAUUGCAUGCCAUCUUGGGGAGGGGGAAGGGGAGAGAAGAAAAGAUUUGGAGUUCAAAAUCUUAAAAGUGAAUGUUGAAAACUAUCUUUACAUAUAAUUGGAAAAAAUAAAAUACUAUUAAGAGGAGAUCUAACUCA